CCUACGGGAGGCAGCAGUGAGGAAUAUUGGUCAAUGGGCGGAAGCCUGAACCAGCCAAGUCGCGUGAGGGAAUAAGGCCCUACGGGUCGUAAACCUCUUUUGCCGGGGAGCAAGGGCGGGGACGUGUCACGGCCCGGAGAGUACCCGGAGAACAAGCAUCGGCUAACUCCGUGCCAGCAGCCGCGGUCAUACGGAGGAUGCGAGCGUUAUCCGGAGUGACUGGGUGUAAAGGGUUGCGUAGGGGGCAGAAUAAGUAGCUAGUGAAAUCCGGUGGCUCAACCAUUCAGACUAUUAGCUAAACUGUUAAGCUCGAGACCGGUAGGGGUAACUGGAAUUUCUAGUGUAGGAGUGAAAUGCGUAGAUAUUAGAAGGAACACCAGUGGCGUAGGCAGGUUACUGGGACGGUUCUGACACUAAGGCACGAAAGCGUAGGGAGCAAACGGGAUUAGAUACCCCUGUAGUC
rnacentral:rRNA from 1 species